rnacentral:rRNA from 1 species
UCCAACUUGAGAGUUUGAUCCUGGCUCAGAGCGAACGCUGGCGGCAGGCUUAACACAUGCAAGUCGAACGGGCGUAGCAAUACGUCAGUGGCAGACGGGUGAGUAACGCGUGGGAACGUGCCUUUCGGUUCGGAACAACCCAGGGAAACUUGGGCUAAUACCGGAUACGCCCUUACGGGGAAAGAUUUAUCGCCGAAAGAUCGGCCCGCGUCUGAUUAGCUUGUUGGUGAGGUAACGGCUCACCAAGGCGACGAUCAGUAGCUGGUCUGAGAGGAUGAUCAGCCACACUGGGACUGAGACACGGCCCAGACUCCUACGGGAGGCAGCAGUGGGGA